rnacentral:rRNA from 1 species
UACGAAGGGGGCUAGCGUUGUUCGGAAUUACUGGGCGUAAAGCGAACGUAGGCGGUGUUCCAUGUCAGAGGUGAAAGCCUGGGGCUCAACUCCAGAAUUGCCUUUGAAACGGGAACGCUUGAGUCCGAGAGAGGAUGGUGGAAUUCCUAGUGUAGAGGUGAAAUUCGUAGAUAUUAGGAAGAACACCAGUGGCGAAGGCGGCCAUCUGGCUCGGUACUGACGCUCAGGUUCGAAAGCGUGGGGAGCAAACAGG